AUUGAACGCUGGCGGCAGGCCUAACACAUGCAAGUCGAGCGAGCGGCGGACGGGUGAGUAAUGUCUGGGAAACUGCCUGAUGGAGGGGGAUAACUACUGGAAACGGUAGCUAAUACCGCAUACCAUCAGAUGUGCCCAGCUGGGAUUAGCUAGUAGGUGGGGUAACGGCUCACCUCGUCGACGAUCCCUAGCUGGGCUGAGAGGAUGACCAGCCACACUGGAACUGAGACACGGGUCAGACGCCGACGGGAGGCAGCAGGGGGGAAUAUUGCACAAUGGGCGCAAGCAUGAUGCAGCCAUGCCGCGUGUGUGAAGAAGGCCUUCGGGUUGUAAAGCACUUUCAGCGGGGAGGCGUUACCCGCAGAAGAAGCACCGGCUAACGCCGUGCCAGCAGCCGCGGUAAUUC
rnacentral:rRNA from 1 species